UUGUCUCAAAGAUUAAGCCAUGCAUGUCUCAGUACAAACUUAAUGAAAGUGAAACCGCGAAAGGCUCAUUAAAUCAGUUAUGGUUCCUUAGAUCGUACAAAGUUACAUGGAUAACUGUGGUAAUUCUAGAGCUAAUACAUGCAAACAGAGCUCGUACCGGAGACGGAAUGAGUGCUUUUAUUAGAUCAAAACCAAUUGUGGCAUCCCUAAGGCUCCAUAUGAUUCUGUGUCUUUGCACACGUUCAUAUGUCCUGGGUGUAUGUUCAUAUUUUUUUAUUGGUGAAUCUGAAUAACUUGCUGAUCGCAUGGUCUUGUACCGGCGACGCAUCUUUCAAAUGUCUGCCUUAUCAACUUUCGAUGGUAGGAUCUGCGCCUACCAUGGUUGUAACGGGUAACGGGGAAUCAGGGUUCGAUUCCGGAGAGGGAGCUUGAGAAACGGCUACCACAUCCAAGGAAGGCAGCAGGCGCGCAAAUUACCCACUCCCGGCACGGGGAGGUAGUGACGAAAAAUAACGAUACGGGACUCAUCCGAGGCCCCGUAAUCGGAAUGAGUACACUUUAAAUCCUUUAACAAGGAGCAACUGGAGGGCAAGUCUGGUGCCAGCAGCCGCGGUAAUUCCAGCUCCAGUAGCGUAUAUUAAAGUUGUUGCGGUUAAGAAGCUCGUAGUUGAAUUUGUGUCUUGCUCUGUCGGUUCAUCGCUGACUGCGGUGUUUAACUGGCAUGGUGCGAGACGUCUUGCCGGAAGGGCAUGGUAUAUGUUUUAUUUGUGUAAAAUAUAAUAUAUACACUGGUAAUUAAUAUUAUAUAGUUAAUAGCUAUAUUUAUAUUUUAUUAUUGGUUGUUUUAUAUUAUAUUGCGCCAGAUAAUAACGUGUACGUAGUCCGACUUUAUAAUCCUGUCGAGGUGCUCUUAACUGAGUGUCGUCGCGGGCCGGCACGUUUACUUUGAACAAAUUAGAGUGCUUAAAGCAGGCUAAUGUUGCCUGAAUAUAGUGUGCAUGGAAUAAUGAAACAGGACCUCGGUUCUAUUUUGUUGGUUUUCUGAUCAAACGAGGUAAUGAUUAAUAGGGACAGAUGGGGGCAUUCGUAUUGCGACGUUAGAGGUGAAAUUCUUGGACCGUCGCAAGACGAACUUAAGCGAAAGCAUUUGCCAAAGAUGUUUUCAUUAAUCAAGAACGAAAGUCAGAGGUUCGAAGGCGAUCAGAUACCGCCCUAGUUCUGACUAUAAACGAUGCCAGCUAGCGAUCGGCCGAAGUUCCUCCGAUGACUCGGUCGGCAGCUUUCGGGAAACCAAAGCCUUUGGGUUCCGGGGGAAGUAUGGUUGCAAAGCUGAAACUUAAAGGAAUUGACGGAAGGGCACCACCAGGAGUGGAGCUUGCGGCUUAAUUUGACUCAACACGGGAAACCUCACCAGGCCCAGACACCGGAAGGAUUGACAGAUUGAGAGCUCUUUCUUGAUUCGGUGGGUGGUGGUGCAUGGCCGUUCUUAGUUGGUGGAGCGAUUUGUCUGGUUAAUUCCGAUAACGAGCGAGACUCUAGCCUGCUAAAUAGACGUAUAAACUCGAUUUAACGAUCGGGAGUCCGGUAUUUCGAGGGUUGUCCUUCGGCAACUGGCCAUUAUUUGUUCGCUACUUGUAUUUUACAUUUGAUGUAUAUAAUACUUGUUAUUGUAUAUAUUUGGAUGUGUUUUACUUGUUUGCGUCGAAUAAUGUAACUAGUUGUUUGUUGGCAAUCUUUACUACCGGCGUAUAUUUGUAUCUUCUUAGAGGGACAGGCGGCUUCUAGCCGCACGAGAUUGAGCAAUAACAGGUCUGUGAUGCCCUUAGAUGUUCUGGGCCGCACGCGCGCUACACUGAAGGAAUCAACGUGUCUUCCCUGUUCGAGAGAACCGGGUAAUCCGUUGAAACUCCUUCGUGCUAGGGAUUGGGGCUUGCAAUUAUUCCCCAUAAACGAGGAAUUCCCAGUAAGCGUGAGUCAUAAGCUCGCGUUGAUUACGUCCCUGCCCUUUGUACACACCGCCCGUCGCUACUACCGAUUGAAUGAUUUAGUGAGGUCUUCGGACCGGUACUCGGCCGAUGUUUCGACG
rnacentral:rRNA from 1 species